AAUGAGUGGCAGUCCCCAAGGAGAGACCGCCUUGUGAAGUCACCACCAGCGACAGUAGAGGAAAUGAGGGAGACUGAGUCAGAGUUGGGAAAGCGCUACCAAUGUUUGCCUGCCAUUCACCAUCCAGUCAGCUGAGGAUUGGAAUGCUCUUCCCUAUGUCCUUCCAGCCCUUGAUCCUCCUUGCCAUUAAGAUCCCAGCUUACCUCACCCUUCUGAAGGAGGAAUUCUUUGAUGGUCUGGUAGAAAGCUGUGUUAGUUUCCAGUCAGCUUGACAUCAGGUCGGGCCGUCUAAGAAGCAGGAACUUCAGUUGAGGAAAUACCUUCAUCAGAUUGCUCUGUGGAUGAAGAUUAUUGGCAUGGGUAUCCAAAGCACAGGAAUUGAGAGCUUCGAAGUCACCAGGAAAAGAAAGGCAUCGUGAGUCAAAGACGUGGUUCAGCUUGGUUUUUGUUCUUGUUUCAAUUUACUCUUAAAGAUGGGAGAAAUGAGAGAGUAUUUGUCGGCUGAGCAAACUGACUCAGAGAUAGGAAAGUAAUGCUUAAAAGCCCUACGGCUAUUCCACCCGUGAAAAUAAAGCUGAGAUUGCUCCAGAGAAAAGCAGGGCGUUCCAGAAGUGUAGGGGGGCAUGGGGUGGGAGGGCAGGUAUAGAGUGGGUGAGGAAGAUUUCCUGAAGGUCUAGCCUGAUUUGCAUCUAUUUCUGCAACCAAACAAGAGCAAGGUGAACAACAAACGGAGAAGAGGUUUUGGGGGUUGAGAACAAAGACCGAGGUAUACAGUAGCUCAGAGGACCAAGAGAGAAAGCUCUGCAAAGUUGGACUAUUAAGUAGCAUGAGGACCCGCAGUGCCAAUGGUGGAGAAUUUGUUGGUAAUAGUGGGCAAAUCCAUGUGCCUUCUGCUCCCGCCGUCCUUCAGGUUCAGGUGAGGGUGGAUGGAAGAACUGGACUGACCAGCUUUGUGUGUGACAGGUACAUUCCCCCAUUGGAUUGUGGCUGCGGGUGGACCUGAAGCUGCAAAAGAAGAGGGAUGGAAUGGGGGUGGUGACAGGGCAGUUUCUAAGGCCCUGGGGAGAGUAGUUAUUUCGCUAUUGUCGGUUUAAAUAAACAUAUACACCCCCAAGAACAUCUGACUUUCCUUUUUUCCUGCAACAGGCUCGGUGGCAGUUCUUACUGUGUGUAUGAGGACUCAGCAUUUCGGGCAGUUCCUGACGC